AAGGAGAAGCAGGCUUCCCGCUGAGCAGGGAGCGCGACGCGGGGCUCGAUCCCAGGACCCUGGGAUUAUGACCUGAGCCAAAGGCAGAUGCUUAACGACUGAGCCACCCAGGCGCCCGGUGGUUCACAAAUUUUACAAAAUACAGAAAAAUAAUGCAAUUUCACAACCGAACUUGACUCAACUCUAUGACCUCCAAAGCAAACUGCCUGAUACAUCUCUAAAAUGCUUUCUUUUUAUGUGUUUGGACUCCAUAUUCUUUGAUCACCUUUUCAUAUUACAAUGACUAUUUUCUAUAGAGUGGAAAGAUAAUUCAGUCUUUCCUCUAACAUGUCUGAUCAAAUUUUUAAAAAUAAACUUUCUUUAUUAAAACAGGUUUAAAUUUGCAAAAAAAAAAAAAUUGUGAAGACAGUAAGUAGACCCUGUACACAUCAUAUCCAGUUCCCCUCUUAUUAGCCUCUGACUUUAAUAUGGUACAUUUGCUACAAUUAAUGAAGGGAUGUUGAUACACUGUUAUUAACUAAAGUCAAUAUGCUACUCAGAGAUGUCUUUAGUUUUUGCCAAGUAUCCUUUUUCUGUUCCAGGAUCCCAUCCAGGACACUACAUUGCACUUGGUUGUUGGGUCUCCUUAGGCUCCUCUUGGCUACUGAGGUUAUAGGUUUCUGGGAGGAAAACUACAGAGACAAAGUGUCAUUUUCAUCACAUAUUGUCAAAGGAUGCUCCAGGAUCCUCAUUUCUAUUUCCUUCCCCAGUCCUAGAAGGAGCUCUGGCUCCUUUUUUUGGAGAAUGGUAUUAGAAACCAAGAUCAGAGGGGGAGAGAGCAAGAGAAUCUUAAGCAGGCUCCACGCCCCGCACAAAGACUGAUGCGGGGCUUGAUCCCAUGACCCUGAGAUCAUGACACUUAAUCGGCUGAGCCACCCAGGCACCCCGAGACUCUCUUCUUUCAAAGAAGAGUUCAGUAAGGGGAAAAUAUGGGGAGAGGAAGAAAGAAAGGAUGCAGGGAGACCGGUUCUCUGGGUUGAGGGCUGGUUUCACCAUCCCCAGACCCUGGCAAGAGCCGCAAGGGAAGGAAGGAACCACUUGAAACUCUUCAAUAAUCAUUUCCAAGUGAGGGAUUUGUCGAUUUCCCAUCUUUGGCAGAAGACGGUAAAAGACCUGGGGCUGCUUUACCUGCAGUCAAGUGUCCCCUCUGGGAGGGACUAUGCCAGACAUUGGGAUACACCAAGGGGCAAGACCGUAGAGGAGCUACCAACACCGAGUUUCCAGCCCAGUGGGGACAGACUAUAAAAUUACAAAACAAACAAGGGCUGUAUGUUCUCAUAGUCUGAGGAACAUACCCCUGUCUGGGGGAUGAUGAGGGCUGGUCAGGAAAGUUGCUUAAGCCAUGCGAAGUUCUCUUUCCUGAGAAGCUUAGAGGACACUCUCCUCUUCUUUUCCAAUUCCUCGUCCUCCACCCCUCUAAACCUGGCUAAACUCUCUGUCCUCCCUUUGCCUCCAUGUUGUCCAGUUAACCCCAUCCUGAACCUAUCCCCAGAGCCAGUUUGCUUCUCAUAUGGAGUAUCUGAACCUCCUUCGACUUCUCCAAUUUGCAUCACCAUCUCCUGGAAAUAAUAUCAUUUAUUUAUUCCCCUCUCAUACAAUAAAAAAUGUGUUGAGCAUUUAUAAUACGUACCAUGCGUUGAGCAAUGUUUCACAUUUACUUUUCGCUUCUACCUUAUGAGAUAUGUUCUGGAAUUUUCCUGACUUGACAAAUAAGAAAAUUGAGUUGUAAGGAAAUUAAGUAACUUGCCCAAGGUUACAUAGGAAGUGGAAGUUGCCAGACUUGACCUGGAGUCGGUUGAUUCCCAAGGCUGCGUUCUUCUUUUUUUUUUUUUUAUUAAUUAAUUAAAAAUUUUUAUUAUUAUGUUAUGUUAAUCACCAUACAUUACAUCAUUAGUUUUUGAUGUAGUGUUCCAUGAUUCAUUAUUUGCGUAUAACACCCAGUGCUCCAUGCAGAAUGUGCCCUCCUUAAUUCUCAUCAC